GAUGAACGCUGGCGGCGUGCCUAAUACAUGCAAGUCGAGCGAACGGACGAGAAGCUUGCUUCUCUGAUGUUAGCGGCGGACGGGUGAGUAACACGUGGAUAACCUACCUAUAAGACUGGGAUCACUUCGGGAAACCGGAGCUAAUACCGGAUAAUAUUUUGAACCGCAUGGUUCAAAAGUGAAAGACGGUCUUGCUGUCACUUAUAGCUGGAUCCGCGCUGCAUUAGCUAGUUGGUAAGGUAACGGCUUACCAAGGCAACGAUGCAUAGCCGACCUGAGAGGGGGAUCGGCCACACGAGAACUGAGACACGGUCCAGACUCCUACGGGAGGCAGCAGUAGGGAAUCUUCCGCAAUGGGCGAAAGCCUGACGGAGCAACGCGGCGUGAGUGAUGAAGGUCUUCGGAUCGUAAAGCUCGGUUAUUAGGGAAGAACAUAUGUGGAAGUAACUGUGCACAUAGUGACGGUACCUAAUCAGAAAGCCACGGCUAACUACGUG
rnacentral:rRNA from 1 species